rnacentral:rRNA from 1 species
CACACCGCCCGUCACACCAUGGGAGUGGGUUGUACCAGAAGUAGGUAGCAUAACUUAAGUGAGUGCGCUUACCACGGUAUGGUUCAUGACUGGGGUG